GCCGAGGUGGCGGAAUUGGUAGACGCGCAGGUUUCAGGUACCUGUGGAGAAAUCCGUGGAGGUUCGAGUCCUCUUCUCGGCACCA
rnacentral:tRNA from 1 species